ACGGCUCAGUAACACGUGGAUAACCUGCCCUAAGGAAGGGGAUAACCUCGGGAAACUGAGGAUAGUACCCUAUAGGUUACAGACGCUGGAAUGCCCUGUAACCGAAAGCUCCGGCGCCUUAGGAUGGAUCUGCGGCCGAUUAGGUUGUUGUUGGGGUAACGGCCCAACAAGCCGAUAAUCGGUACGGGUUGUGGGAGCAAGAGCCCGGAGUUGGAUUCUGAGACACGAAUCCAGGCCCUACGGGGCGCAGCAGGCGCGAAAACUUUACAAUGCGGGAAACCGUGAUAAGGGAACCCCGAGUGCCUGUAUAUGCAGGCUGUCCAGGUGUCUAAAAAACACCUGAAGAAAGGGCCGGGCAAGACCGGUGCCAGCCGCCGCGGUAAUACCGGCGGCUCGAGUGGUGGCCACUUUUAUUGGGCUUAAAGCGUUCGUAGCUGGGUUGUUAAGUCUCUUGGGAAAUCUGACGGCUUAACCGUCAGGCGUCUAAGAGAUACUGGCAAUCUUGGAACCGGGAGAGGUGAGGGGUACUUCGGGGGUAGGAGUGAAAUCCUGUAAUCCUCGAGGGACCACCUGUGGCGAAGGCGCCUCACCAGAACGGCUUCGACAGUGAGGGACGAAAGCUGGGGGAGCAAACCGGAUUAGAUACCCGGGUAGUCCCAGCCGUAAACGAUGCGCGUUAGGUGUAUCGGUGACCACGAGUCACCGAGGUGCCGAAGGGAAACUGUGAAACGUGCCGCCUGGGAAGUACGGUCGCAAGGCUGAAGCUUAAAGGAAUUGGCGGGGGAGCAC
rnacentral:rRNA from 1 species